rnacentral:lncRNA from 1 species
UGCUAGUUGGCGGGGAAGGGAAAAUAUAGCCUCUAGCCUUUGCUAGUUGGCGGGGUUAAGCCUCUAGCCUUUGCUAGUUGGCGGGGGAUGGGAAAACGAAGCCUCUAGCCUCAUCUACAGUCUUAAAUUGCAUGCAUUUUAGUUUUAGUAUUUAGAAAAUACAAAUAUAAGUUGAGAAUUAAGAUUGAAGUAUGUGAAAUAUAGCCUCUAGCCUUUGCUAGUUGGCGGGGUUAAGCCUCUAGCCUUUGCUAGUUGGCGGGGGAUGGGAAAACGAAGCCUCUAGCCUUUGCUAGUUGGCGGGGUUAAGCCUCUAGCCUUUGCUAGUUGGCGGGGUGAAGCCUCUAGCCUUUGCUAGUUGGCGGGGUGAAGCCUCUAGCCUUUGCUAGUUGGCGGGGAGAAUGGAAAUCACCGCUAUCUUGUGAUAGCCUUGGGUUAAUCUUAGUUUUAACAUAAUUUUAAGUCUUAACUUGCAUGCAAUUUACUUAAUAGGUGACACUUCCCCAUCGGUAGGGGAAAUGCACAAGGUAUUUUGCAUCAAAGAGGGUGUAUCACCCUUGGAGAUGCUGGGAAGUGGAGAUAUUCUUGAGAAAUUCAAGAGUUUUUUACUUCUCUACUCUACUAAGUAUCUUUAAGAGUGAGAGACUCUCAUAGAUACUGUAGAGUACAACAUUCACGCCUGGCGGUCCUUAGUUUAGUGAUAAGUUCAAUCUAUGAUUAGCAACUAUUUAUCAUCAUUUUUUGAUACUUUAAAAUUAGAGAUAUUCUUGAGAAAUUCAAGGGUUCUCUAAUGAGUAUCAUUGAGAGUAAGAAACUCUUAUUGAUACUGUCUUGUACAAACAUACACUCCUGUUGAUUCAGGUAUUCUCUUAGUUCAGUCCAAGUUAAGAUUUGUAACUGUUUAUCUACAUUAUAUAAAAUUGCUUUGUUUUGUAAGUGCUUUACAAGUUUGUUGCAGCUUAGCCUACCAAAUGAAUCCAAGUGCACCAUUGUAGAUAUUUUUUAAAAGCAGGAUUGAUGAACAACUAAACAAACAAUAUUGUGGAGAUACAUGUGAAUUAUAAUGGAGAUGCCACCAGCUAUUCAAUGCAUUGGAGAGCAGCUCUACUACCAAAGUGGAGAUGUGGAUCACUGGAUGUGCAGGAUUGAUGAACAACUAAACAAACAAUAUUGUGGAGAUACAUGUGAAUUAUAAUGGAGAUGCCACCAGAUAUUCAAUGCAUUGGAGAGCAGCUCUACUACCAAAGUGGACAUGUGGAUCACUGGAUGUGGUAUGAGAUAUCUGGAAUUUAUAUUUUCAUUAGUCUAGACAGGAUAGAAUGCUCUAACACUUCCCUAUUCUAACACAGAUAUCAAGCUAGGGCCGGGAUGUUUAUGGUGGUUACUAUUAUGACACAGUUCAUCCCGACCCUUUCGGCAGUGCCAUGUUCUAUCCGGUUGGUUCUGAGUCCAAUGGGUGCUUUCAAGUUAGAGUCAACUGACCUGCAGAUCGCAUUUCCGAGUGCCAACAACUGGACGAACAUGUGCUACUGUUAGAUUGUGGUUUAUGGAUGGCUGUGGAGUAAGAAAAUCACCUUGAAUAGGGUUUGAGUUGUCAGGGUCCCUGUAGGAUAUUUGCAGUUGUCAGUCGACUAUUACAUUUCUGAUCAGUGCCCUUUGUGGUGGUGCCACAGCUUUUUCAUGAUGGUUGCGGGCUCAGUACAGCACUAAUUUGAUGAGCAGGUGGUACUGUUACACUGUGGCCUGGUCUGACUUGUUCUAUGAGACUGGCGAUGCAAAUAUUAGAUUGUAGUGCCUUCAGCAAACUUAGGGAUGGGGGUGUGAGAAUUAUCUGUCUUAAGAAUUAGAAUUAAGAAAAAUACGUUUAUAUCUGAGGCUGGAGUGAUAUUAAGUAUAGUCUCUAGCCUUUGCUAGUUGGCGGGGUGAAGCCUCUAGCCUUUGCUAGUUGGCGGGGUGAAGCCUCUAGCCUUUGCUAGUUGGCGGGGUGAAGCCUCUAGCCUUUGCUAG